AGUUGCAUGAGUUUGAAUAGAGCGAGGGAAGAUUUGUUUCUUAAGUUGCGUUUUUGGAGUUGCAGUAACGUUAUAGAAGAACAACAUGCCCACCAGCUGUUGUGUGUACGGGUGUACAAAUCGAAAUCCCGAGGAACAUAAUUUUUUUGCAAUUCCCAGAGGAAACAGGCCAUUUCCAAAGCACCGUAGGAGCCUGUGGCUGCAAGCAUCAGAAGAACCGACUGGACCGAGGAUCAUCUAGAAUGCCCGCGUUUGCAGUGCUCAUUUCAUAUCUGGUGAGAUGUCACUGGACCACGACAGUCCUGAUUUUGUGCCCUCUAUUUUUUCAUACACUAAAUAAAACCAAAACCCUGAUGCAAAGAUCAAAAGGUACCAAAGAAAAAAGAAAUGGAGUGAAAGACUUCUGGUUGCUCCACAAAUCAACCUGCUCCUGGAACUCCAGAGGAAUCACCAGCAUGGAUCACAGUCCUAAUAACUCCAGAGGAAUCACCAGCAUGGAUCACAGUCCUAGUAAGUGUAGCCACUGUUGUGUCAUUUCAUGUCUCAUUGUAUAUAUAAUGGUUCAACCAUGUUGAGUAUUCUCCCCCUAUGCUGAUCUCCACAUCCAUUCUUUUCUUUACAACCCAUAUUUAUGCACAGUGUAGACUAACACAGUUGCAAUUAAUCUUAGGUCUAUGUAUGUGACAAAUAAAAUCUCCUUGUCCCUGUCCUUUUCUCCUCUCCUAUUCACAACUGUCCUCUACUGAUUCCAAUGCCCCUCUUAUGUUCUCUAUACACCUCUCCAUCCAUCCAUCUCGUCUUCAAUUCUCAACUGUUCUCUUUUCUGCUAAAGCUGAAGAGGACAUCCCACUCACGAGGACAGAAUACAAUGACCUGAACCUGAGGUACACCGAGCUGAAGAGUGACCACGUCAACCUGCAGGAAAAGUAUCAACAGCUGCGAGAUGAAAAUGAGAGACUUAAAGAGGAGCUGAAGAAGUCUACAUUUUCAUACUCAAAUAUUAAGUGCAACAUGGUACAACUGUUGUUUAUCACUGGAAUAACAUCUGUGCUC